rnacentral:rRNA from 1 species
CGCGUAGGUGGUAGUGCAAGUCUGGGGUGGAAUCUUAGGGCUUAACCCUAAAACUGCCUUGGAAACUGCAUUACUUGGGUCAGUGAGGGGAGGGUAGAAUUCCUGGUGUAGCGGUGAAAUGCGUAGAUAUCAGGAGGAAGGCCUGUGGCGAAGGCGGCCCUCUGGCGCUGAACUGACACUGAGGCGCGAAAGCGUGGGUAGCAAACAGGAUUAGAUACCCUGGUAGUCCACGCCCUAAACGGUGGGUACUAGGUGUAGGGCUCGUAAGGGUUCUGUGCCGAAGGGAAACCAUUAAGUACCCCGCCUGGGGAGUACGGCCGCAAGGUUGAA